rnacentral:rRNA from 1 species
UCCAGACUCCUACGGGAGGCAGCAGUGGGGGAUAUUGCACAAUGGGGGGAACCCUGAUGCAGCGACGCCGCGUGAAGGAAGAAGUAUCUCGGUAUGUAAACUUCUAUCAGCAGGGAAGAAAAUGACGGUACCUGACUAAGAAGCCCCGGCUAACUACGUGCCAGCAGCCGCGGUAAUACGUAGGGGGCAAGCGUUAUCCGGAUUUACUGGGUGUAAAGGGAGCGUAGGCGGCAGUGCAAGUCAGAAGUGAAAGCCCGGGGCUCAACUCCGGGACUGCUUUUGAAACUGUACAGCUUGAUUGCAGGAGAGGCAAGUGGAAUUCCUAGUGUAGCGGUGAAAUGCGUAGAUAUUAGGAGGAACACCAGUGGCGAAGGCGGCUUGCUGGACUGUAAAUGACGCUGAGGCUCGAAAGCGUGGGGAGCAAACAGGAUUAGAUACCCUAGUA